rnacentral:lncRNA from 1 species
CGAAGGUUGUGGCGGAUGCUGAUCUGACUGGGGCCGGGUUAGAACAGCUUGUGUACGCGCGGGUGUGAGCGGGGUUAUUGAAGUAAAAAUGUCCAGAAAAAUCCAUGGCGGUUCUGUGGUGGAAAUGCAAGGAGAUGAAAUGACACGGAUCAUCUGGGAAUUGAUUAAAGAAAAGCUCAUUCUUCCCUACGUGGAACUGGAUCUGCAUAGGUAAACGACUUGCUCUUCUCUGUAGCCAGCAAACUCAGAAACAAUUGUUAUUUCACAUUGUACCUGACAUUUUUUGUUACAUAUAUAAUACCUUUUGUGAUUAAAAGGUUAUAAAACCUUUUGCAAUU